CUCCCCUUGCCUCGUGCAAGUGGGAGGGUGUUUGUCCCAGCCCGGGACUCACGAGCCCAAGAAGAAGCCUGAUUGGUUGGCUGGCUCGUGGUGGGCGGGGCUUGCUGAGAGGCCGAGCGUUUCCCCGCUCUGGCCUCUCAGUCGGCUGUUUGUUUCCGAUUAGGAAGGAGCUCAGUCCGGGAGCUCCUUCCUCGAAGGCCUUAGUUGGGGGGGUGCGCCCGACAAGCGGGCGAGGCGGCAUUCGGCGGCGUUCCGUCGAGGGGGCCAUAGUGUCAGCGGUGGCCCCGCUGGUAGGGGGGUACUCCCGGGACUGCUCCCGGCUGGGUUGCAGCUGCAGCAGCAGCGUCUUUGGGCCUCUUCAGCGCGGCGUCGGCACUCGGCUUCCUGGGCGUGGUUCUCCUUCUGGGCGUUUGCCCUUUUGGUUUGUGGGGUAUUUGGGGGGUUUCCAUCAGCCUGGGUGGCUGGGCAGCGGCCCCUUUUCCGUUCCCUGGAGCACUACUUUUGAUGCCAACAUUCUUUUAUUUGUUUGGUGGGUAGCAGGUGGGUGUUUGUGCUCAUCGGUGCCCUGGUGGGCCUGGCCUGGUUGAGAGUCAAAAGGCCUUUUCAAGCCUUCUCCUUGGGUGGGGGGCUCUGGUGCUUUCCUGGAUAGGAUUGAGUAUUGUUUUUGAUUCAGGACAAGGGCUUGGCUUUUGUUCUAUAUCCUUGCUACCUUCAUUCUGUGUGUGGUUGGCGCUUUUUUUUUUUUCUUUUCUCCAACCCCUUUUGGAAUCCCACUAUUUGGAGGCAGUAUGCCGGGGAAGGCCAAGGGCAAGAAAGGGGGGCACCCUGUUAAGCAGCCCAAGAGGCCUGCUCCCCCGCAGUCCUCCUCGGAGGAGGAGGAUGAGGAGAUGACUCUGAUACGGGGGUUAAUUAAUAGGAUGGAAGCUUUAGAGAAAGCAAAAGCAGCCCCCUCCGACAAAGGUGCGGGUCCUUCAGGUGUGUGGGGGGGUGCCUCCUCCUAAGGUCCCUCGGAGGACCAGGGGUUCUGUGAAAAGCCAGCUGCUAACUUCUCUCUCUAGUAGGCUGGCUGCGCUGGAAGAAGGGCUGAACCCUGCUGGACCGGGCCCUUCUGCUCCUGCGUUACCGCUUCCUGAACCUGAGUCUCCAGUUCCGGAGUCGCCUUCACCAUUGCUACCUCCGCCUGCGGCACCAGUUGUUCAGCCUCCAGUGGAUACGGCUACUCCUUUGGCCCAGGGUGCUGGCGGGGCGGCGGUCCCGGUCCGAGUCCUGAUGUGUGGCCAUUCGUUGGUCUUCUGGGCUUUCAAGCGGGCCAGCACCACCCGCUGGGGAUCCCAGUUGGGUUUAGGAAGCAAGGCUUCAGUUUAUUGGUUGGGCAUGAGGGGCAUGCUCUGGAAUCAGUUGCUUCCAGCAUUGAGGGAGCAUUUAGAUAGGUUUCCCAUUCCCGACAUCCUGGUUCUUCAUUUAGGGGAGAAUGAUUUGGGCCGGCGGCCUGGCCUCGCCAUCCUUCAGCAAGCCUCCUCGGAUUUGUAUAUUUUGCGCAGCUGGAUGCCUGGCGUGCGCAUAAUAUGGGUUAAUUGGCUCCAGCGCAGGGUGUGGCGGGGUGCUCAUUCUUGCCUUAGCUUGGAAAAGGCACGCAGGAAGAUUUCAGCCGCAAUAGGUAAAGUGGUUUUGGCGGCCGGGGGGUCUGUGGUGCGGCAGCCAGAUAUAGCUGCUCGCUUUCCCGAGUUAUUCCGCCCUGACGGGGUCCACCUGUCUGAGAAAGGUUGUGAUUUGUAUCUGCAUAAUAUCCGGGAAGUGCUUGCUGAAGGUUUGGAGGGGGUGGGGCAGGAAGGUCAAGCGAGGGCUAACCUUCCUGGGUGGCGGUAACAGUGCGGGCUGUGGGUAAGGAGGUCUAGAUUUCGGUGAGCACCCUUGGACAUUUUAAGGUGGAUUGGUCAAUUGCUUCCUUGUGGCCUGUGUGGCACGGGAAGAAUUACAUUGCCAAGAAACCUGCUUCAGGACUUCACCUACCUUUGGGCUGUGCGGUCCGGGGAGGUAAAGAUCUGAAGCUGUCCAGAUCCCCUCUUCUAAAAGGGGUGGUUGGCUUUGAAGGAAUUGGGCGGGAGCUACCUGCCUCUUUCCUGAGCCAGGGUGUGUCGCCCUUGCAGGCGAUGGGUAGGACGUUUUGAAUCCUAGCCCACGCCUAGGUGCCCGCACUGUUUUUAUGUUGGUGAUUAAUCACCUUGUUUCUAGUCCGCCACAAAUGUUGUUAUAUUAAUAAAGCGUGGCCCGUUUCUCCCAUUAAAAAA